GACCUGAUGGUGUAGUGGUAACAUGCCUGCUGAAUCUGGAAACGCGAUCUUGAUCCAGUUGAGCAGGAGGCCUUGGUUCGAACCCGGGUCAGGUCA